UACGAAGGGUGCAAGCGUUGUUCGGAAUUACUGGGCGUAAAGCGCGCGUAGGCGGGUUCGUAAGUCGAUUGUGAAAGCCCUGGGCUUAACCCGGGAACUGCAGUCGAAACUACGAAUCUUGAAUGUCUGAGAGGAUGGCGGAAUUCCCGGUGUAGUAGUGAAAUACGUAGAUAUCGGGAAGAACACCUGAGGCGAAGGCGGCUAUCUGGCGGUACAUUGACGCUGAGGCGCGAAAGCGUGGGGAGCAAACAGG
rnacentral:rRNA from 1 species